rnacentral:rRNA from 1 species
AUAUUUGACAAUGGGGGCAACCCUGAUCCAGCCAUGCCGCGUGUGUGAAGAAGGUNUUNNGAUUGNANAGCACUUUAAGUUGGNNNNNAGGGCUUUAGGUUAAUACCCUUAAGUUUUGACGUUACCAACAGAAUAAGCACCUGCUAACUCUGUGCCCGCAGCCGCGGUAAUACAGAGGGUGCAAGCGGUAUUCUGAAUUACUGGGCUUAAAGCGCGCGUAGGUGGUUCAGUAAGAUGGGUGUGAAAUCCCCGGGCUUAACCUGGGAACUGCUUUCAUAACUGCUGAGCUAGAGUACGGUAGAGGGUAGUGGAAUUUCCUGUGUAGCGGUGAAAUGCGUAGAUAUAGGAAGGAACACCAGUGGCGAAGGCGACUACCUGGACUGAUACUGACACUGAGGUGCGAAAGCGUGGGGAGCAAAC